CCUACGGGCUGCAGUGGGGAAUAUUGGACAAUGGGCGAAAGCCUGAUCCAGCCAUGCCGCGUGUGUGAAGAAGGCCUUCGGGUUGUAAAGCACUUUCAGUGGGGAAGAAAGCCUUGGGGCUAAUACCCUCGAGGAAGGACAUCACCCACAGAAGAAGCACCGGCUAACUCCGUGCCAGCAGCCGCGGUAAUACGGAGGGUGCGAGCGUUAAUCGGAAUUACUGGGCGUAAAGCGCGCGUAGGCGGUCUGAUAAGCCGGUUGUGAAAGCCCCGGGCUCAACCUGGGAACGGCAUCCGGAACUGUCAGGCUAGAGUGCAGGAGAGGAAGGUAGAAUUCCCGGUGUAGCGGUGAAAUGCGUAGAGAUCGGGAGGAAUACCAGUGGCGAAGGCGGCCUUCUGGACUGACACUGACGCUGAGGUGCGAAAGCGUGGGUAGCAAACAGGAUUAGAUACCCUAGUAGUC
rnacentral:rRNA from 1 species